UGUUCUCAUCAUUCAACACCCAAAUCUUAUUCACUGUAUAAAGUUGUUGUGAAAUGAUAUCGAACCUGUGUCCCCACCACCCCUUCCAGCCCAGAAAA